rnacentral:lncRNA from 1 species
UCCACGGGUCAUUUAGGGUUGCGAAACAACCCACGGGUGAACAAAAUCCCACAUUGAUCAGAUGAUUCAAAUAUCGAGCAAUAAGAUUCCGGGCGGAUUUCACCAGUCAACAGUUACUCAGCAGGCAAUCAACAUGAGCAUACGCCUGUUAUGAAUCCUGGGAGAGACAGGUCCUCUAAAAAUCUCAUUACCUGUAUUUGUUCUUGCUUCAUACAAGUUAAAAGAACCUCUAUGGAUCAACAAUGAAGGCGAAUUGCUGACGGAUCUAUUGCAGGCAGCCGACAGUGGGUUGGCAAAUCUUCAGGUCAAUCACCUUCAUUUGGUUCAUGUCUGCUGACCUGGACAGCCUAGUUGAAACUCAAAUGGUUGUAUUAUUUUUCAAAAGUUCCUUAGGAACGUGAGUACCCUGGAAACACAAGAAUCGAAGUGGUGAAACCCGCCAGCAGAAGAAGUGUUUUUGUUCAAACUGAGACAGGUUGUGUGUUAAUUAAGGAUGGAGCUAGGUCGAAUUGAUAGUGCCACACAUGGAUAACGACAUCCGCAAAACUGCAAUGGAGUUUCUACCUUUGAGUAAUCCACACAUCUUUCUAAACAAACUCUAGUACAAGGAUGAAAACAAAGGAGAUGCAGGAGACCCAUCUUCUUGUAAGAAGAUAGCAUACUAAGAGAACCUGCUUCAACUAAGGUCCAUGCUUCCUAAAGACGAUCUAGAAAUGAGAUAAUAAAAUAUUUGAGAUGCUAUCCUUCGUCAGAAUAUUCGCCCAAAGGCGAACAAGUUGCCGGUAGGACCACGCGUUGUGAGAAAACUGGAUUUUCCAAGAUGCACUUACGAUGAAAAUUUACCAAUCACAAAGAACCUGAACGCAACAGGAUGUUUCUAAAAAAGUGUUGAAGACAUGCCAUGCUUUAUCAUCUGAUCAUAGUUCUUGCAGCACUUUCAAGUCGAAAAGUACGAGUAUAUAAGCAUGAAGAAUAAAUCUAUAAAUAGUUUUUAGUUUAUGUUUAUUGUCAUUUCUCUUUUCAACUUUUGUAGAUAGAUUUUAUCAGAAGUUUGUUAUUAGUACUUAAGUUGAAAACUUAUGUAUGAAUUUUGGUUAAUAUUAGUUGGUUUUAGGUUUUUCUCAUGCUGACAACUGUUUUUAUUUUACAAAAAGUUGAAAAUAAAAUAGCUAAUUACAUGAAAAUGGUCACAUAAAACCACAAUAAGUACGUAUGACCAAAGCUUAAACAAUAGUCACACCAUAGUCACUUUGUUUUUUGUUUGUGUGACGGAAUGAUAUGAACCGUCACGAGAAAGAAUAUUAUGUGUGGCUAAAGAUUAAACAACAGUCACACUUAAAAUUAUAAAAUUUCAUGUGACUUUACAUAAUCAUUAGACACACCAUCGUCAUUUUGUUUAUUUUGGUGUGACGAACUAUUAGCAAACGUCAUUGGUAAAAUAUAUUAUUUGUGAUCAAAGGUUACACAAUAGC